UGGAGGCUACUCAGGCGCGGGACUCGUUCUCGAGGCGGGAGCUGAGGUGCGGGGCGGGGCCUCCUGCCCGGCGCCGGCCUGUGGGGAGGCGGGGCGGGGCACAGUCUCUUAACCGUGCAGCCCGCCCCUGACGCCGCUGGUAACUGCGAGAGUCGGGGUCGGUGCGGUUUGCUAAGUGGUCGGUUCCUGGAGCUGCGGUCUUCUGCUAGCCUGAUCCGCAGCUUCAGCCUCCGCCGCCUCCUCAGCCCUCGGCGCCGCCGCUGGCGCCGCCGCCUGACCCGCAGGCAGCCGCGGGCCGCAGAGCCCAUGAGGGCGCGGGCACCGCCGCCGCCUCCGCGGCGUCGCCGUCGUCCCGGAGCGCCCCGAGCUGGCGCGGGCAUGGCCGUGGCAUGAGCGUGGAGCCGCCGCCGGAGCUGGAGGAGAAGGCGGCGUCGGAGCCCGAGGCGGGAGCCAUGCCGGAGAAGCGCGCGGGCGCACAGGCCGCGGGGAGCACCUGGCUACAAGGCUUUGGCCGACCAAGUGUGUACCAUGCUGCUAUUGUCAUCUUCUUUGAAUUCUUUGCGUGGGGCCUGUUGACAACUCCAAUGUUGACUGUUCUACAUGAAACAUUUUCUCAACACACAUUCCUCAUGAAUGGUCUCAUUCAAGGUGUAAAGGGCCUGCUCUCUUUUUUGAGUGCCCCACUCAUUGGUGCCCUGUCUGAUGUGUGGGGGAGGAAGCCCUUUCUCCUCGGCACUGUAUUCUUUACCUGCUUCCCAAUCCCACUGAUGAGGAUCAGCCCAUGGCUGGAGUGCAGCUGCACAAUCUCGGCUCACUGCAACCUCUGCCUCUCCAGUUCAAGCGAUUCUCCUGCUUCAGCCUCUCAUGUAGCUGCGAUCACAUGUGUGCCGCCAUGCCCAGCUGAUUUUUGUAUUUUUAGUAGAGGCGGGGUUUCACCAUGUUGGCCAGGCUGGUCUCAAACGCUUCACCUCAAGUGAUUCACUCACCUCGGCCUCCCAAAGUGUUGGGAUUACAGGCGUGAGCCACUGCACCCAGCCUAGGGGUUUUCUUUUUGAGGUGAUAAAAAUGUUCUAAAGUUUAUAGUGAUGAUGCUUGCAAAUUCUAUAAGUAGACUUAAUGCAGUGAUGGUUGCAAAUUCUAUAAAUAUAUUUAAUGUGGUGAUGGUUGCAAAUUCUAUGAAAAACCCAAAUUGUACAAUUUCAAUGAGUGAAAGCAUGCUAUGUGAAUGUCUUCAUAAAGGUUUUAUUUAAAAAAUGAGCAAACGGUAGAAUGUUAACAUGGCCCACGUCUAUGUGGUGUCUAUAUUGGUUUCUAUUAUAUGUUUUCUAUGUGGUUGAAACAUUCCUAAUAAAAUGUGCAUAGUUUUUUAAAAAAGAAAACACAUCAGUGGACGUGAAUGCAGGAUGUCUUAUGAAUGCUCACACAGAAGCUCCCAUUCCUGAGGAAUGCAGGGAAAAGCAGAAGAUGGAGUAGGAGUUGGCAUGGCCCAGCUAGCUCAGAUGACACACGAUGGUCCCAGUGGCAUGACUUGGUUUGUGUGAUUUGUGCUUUGGGGUUUUAUUUUGGCACAUUAUAAAGGAGUAAAGCCUGUAUACAGUCAGUUUCUGUCUAUUCUAAUGAAGGGCAAGGGGAUGAAGGGAUUUACCUUGACUAACCAUCCACUUACAUUGAUUAGGAAUCUUGUGAUCCUAUCGUCACCCGUGAGAUUUCUAUGUUGUUUGUGUUUAAUGUCAGAGAAUAUCUUUUAAUCGCUCAUACAGUUUAUGCAAAUACCGUAUACGUGAUAAACGUCCCUACAACAUGAUCUUUGGAAUGAACUAAGACAAAGGAAAUUCUGAGGAAGGACCAUGGCAUGAGAGGUGGAAUUCAUCCUUCCGAGGACUGAGAUGAGGACGGAAAAUGAACCAUCGGUAAAUACAACCUGAGUCCGGAUACAUUUGCCUAAAAUGAGCUCAAAGGGCACACGUGUGCAGACAAAGCAUGCUCAAUGACAUCAUAACUCAGAAUUCAGUAAAACCCAGCGUAUCAGCUCCCUCACAGGGGAUGUGCCAGGGUGGGGGCCACUGUUGAGAGUCUGCACCCAGUAAUGGUCAGGGACUCAGUGACAAUGACUCUGGCAGCCCUGGCCGGGUAUCAGCCAAUUGGCCAGGAGGGGGCAGCCUGGCCCAGAUCCCCCAAACCAGGUGACUCUCACUAACAUUGCCCAGGGCACCAAGACCUGAAGGACAUCAUGGGAUGCUGAAGUUAGAAUCAAAGUGCAGCUACAAAAGGGCAGCCACCUGGAGCAAGUCCAUCCUGGUAGCUGUCAGAAAGCACUGCAUGUUUACUAACGGGGGCCGGCCUUGCUCACAUUGUCAGAUGUAGUUUCUCAGGAGGCCAUGGCUUCUUCAGGGAUCUGUCGUCCAGUGGUGAAGGGAGUGGUUUCUGGAGGCAAACCUGCCCGGGGCCGCCCCAACUGCACUGGCUCCCAGAGAGUGACCUGGCUGCAUGAGCAGGGAGGCCAAACCCACCGAGAGCCUCAGCAUACCCCCAGCACCUGCUGUGAGCAAGCUGCUUGGCUUCCCCAAGUGUGAAUAUGACGAUGUCAUGGGUGUUUACAGAUUCCCUUGCACUGUGUCCCACAGCAGUCCUGGUUCACGUGUGAUACACUGCACUUGGCGUGGAGGUGUGCUGAGAGUCGUAAAGAGCCGAGCCUUUCUUCAUUCUUUCCCAUGGCUCUGAUACAGUUUCCAGAUACCAGUCAGGAAGGAAGUUCCUGAGAUGAUAGACCUUGUCCUAGUCACAUAGGGCUGCUAGGACAAAGUGUCCUAGACUUGGUGGGUGGGGGAGGCGGUGCGUAUUAAGAAACAAAAUGUAUUUGUCAGUCUGGAGGCUGGAAGUCCAACGUUAGGGUCACAGCAAGGUGAGGUUCUGGUGAGGGCUCUCUUCCUGGCUUGCAGAUGGCUGCCUUCUCACUGUGUCCUCAUGUCAGGGAGAGAGAGAGAGCGCUGGGAUCUCUGCUUCUUACCAUGGCCCUAAUCCCAUCAUUAGGGCCCCACCCUCAUGUUCUCUUCUAACCCUGAAUAACUCCCAAAGGCCCCAUCUCCAAAUACCAUCACGUUAGGAGUUAGGGCUUCAACACAGGAACUGGAGGUGGGGGGGACACAUGUUAAGUCCAUCAGAGCCCCCCAGUCAGCCCCACUGUGCCCAUUUAGGGGCAGAUUGUAGGGCUCAGGCGGGACACAGAGGUGGAGGAAGCAUAGGUUCUGCCUCUUGGAAAUGGCUCAGCCAAAACAAGGACAGGGACAGUGGGGCAGAAAACAGCUAGUGGGGUAAACCAGCAGAAGCCCCGAGGUGUCACUAAACCAAGGUAUCACUUUCACACUUAGGUGAGGAAGUUGGCUGAGCACCCAAACACGCCAGAGUACAGACCACAUUCCCUUCAAACAUGGCUCACUUAACAUUCCUAAACCCUGCAAAGGGGAGGUGUUACCUUGUCUCCUGAGGAUGGCCCUGAAUGUAGAGGAGUCACGGGAGCUGCCCACAUCACCCACCAGUGACUCUUCACUCCCCACAUUUUCCCCAAGGGCCUGUUGUGCCCUCAGCUGGGGAAGCCCUGCCGAGAUAAACUCUCCUUCCCAAAGGCGAAAGCGGGUGGCAGGCCUCUGACACUGCCCACAUGGAGCAGAAGGGAUGGGGCAGAGAGGCAUCUGUCUGGCUGACUGCUGUGUUCUGUGGGCAGAUGGGACCAGAGAGAACCCAAACAUGGCUCCCUUUGUCACUUGGCAGAGGGACCAGGCCGCCAUAUACCAGAGAGCUUUGCCCCAUCAGCUUCUGCUGCUGGGCCAACUCCCAGCACCAUGACCACAGCUCUGCAUGCAGGCAGUGCUGGGACCAGUGCUCUGGCAGUCACAGUGGUCCUGAGCCAACAAGGGCCCUGAGGAGGAAUCAGAACUCAGACUGUGGAGAAGAAGGUGUUGGCCAGGAGGGAACCAGGGCAGGUGCUGGGUCCUGUCCAUGCUGGGAUCUGAGAUUCUGAGAGGUGGGUUAGGGGUAAGGGGGCAGAGGUCGGCCACAUGGGGUGAGGGGAGUUCAGCAGAGAUGGGGAGGACAGGACAACCUGGGAAAAAGCAGAGUAUCCUCCCCAGCCUCAGUCCCUCUCCUGAUGCAGUCCUCAUCUCACUCAUAGACUCCAGAAGUCUCCCUUCAGUGAACACCUGGCCCCCGACUCUCAGGGCACUUCCCAGACGGCCAGUGCCGCAUCCCAGGCAGCCCCUGCUCUGCCCUUGGGGUCUGUGCCUGGCAGAAGGGCGACUGAGCCUCGGCCCCUCUCGGCCUGGGCCCCAGCUUCCCCUGGCCCUGGGACCAGCAGACACACCCACCUUGCGCCUGGCAGGCUGGUCAUGCUUGUUCCCGUUGGUGAUGGUGUGUUGGGAGGGAACUGUUUUAGAUGCCAAUGUAAAUCUGUGUCUACAUCAAUUCCACAUGAGUUCAGUCAUCAUAUGGGAAGGGAAUCAUAGCUGUGGGGGGGGCUCCAUGCAAGACCCUGAGGGCCCCUGAGGCCAUUCCAUGUGGCCACAGCAAGGAGCAUCUGCUUCAGCCAGUUGGACAAGACUCUCUCCUGCCCAGAAACAGGCAGAGGGACUUCCCCUGCUCUGCACCCCUCAUCAUAUCCCAAACACACUCAUGUGGACGGUCACCUCAACGUCUCCCCUCAGCCCAGUGCCCGUGCUCUUCCUGAUGAGGGUUAAGCAGGAGCGGCCGCCUCUCCCCAUGUCCAUGUUGCAGGCAGCUGCCUUCUCCUCAGCUCCCACCGAGCAGAACAAAAGCCAGCCAGCUCUCUCCAUCCCAGGAUUUUCCAGGGAUACUGAUAAUGAUGGGAGGCCCCGAGAAGCCUCCCUAAAGCAGGCGGGGCCUUGUGAGUGGGUGGUGGGAGGGAUCAGGGCUUCCUCAGCAUCUGUCAGUCCCCGGAGCAUCUGAAGGGGCCCCCUAUACCAGGAGGAAAGAGUGGGGCCAGCCCCUGUGGGUUCCCAGUGCCUGGCCUCUCCCAGUUCCUCAGCCCUGAGGCCUCACAGACACCCUCCACAAAGCAGCACAACGCCAAGGGCAGAGGCAGCAGCCCUCAGAGCAUUUUCCAAAACAACUACAUUUAUUCACAUUUACACAGAAGGCCCCCAAGGCACUGCUUCCCACCCCCCAGGCCCUCCCUUCUCGCCCUCCCCAUUCAGCCACUCUCUCCCUCCCCUACCUUCCUCCCUUCCUGCCCUCCCCGUUCAGCCACCUUCUCCCUCCCCUCCCUCCCCUCCUUCCCCUACUCUCCAAAGCUAAGGCCCAGCAAGAUCAGCACUGGAGGAGAAGCAGCCUUUGCUUUGGGGCACCGGGUGCCAUGAGGGUCCGAGAGUUCAGACCCCCACCUUUGGGGACUGGCAUCAGAGAGUCUGCCCCAUGGCGGCCCCUACUGGCUACAAUGCCGCUUCUUCUUCCUCCUGGAGGCCAAGGGGUCACCCUUUCUCUUUUGAGACUGUGAGGGGCCACCCAGCCCCCAAGCCAGGGAUUGCUCCCCAGAGACCCUGAGCCCAGGCCCUGGGUGCGGUGUCUUUUCAGCAGGGGAUGGGCUUCCAAAGAGAGGUUGCUUCUUGGACUUGCUGGUGGGAGAGGGUGCUGGGCUGAGGCCUCUUUUCUGAGCAGAUGGAGACUGAAGAGCUCCCUGGGAUCCUCGCCCUCCUGGGCUGAGAAGGCCCGAGGAAGGGACAGGGCUCUGGGACAGCCUCCAGGGCCUCAGCCUGUGGUGGGAACCCACGACAUAGACCAUGCCAGGGAGUUCCGUCUCCUCACUUGACCCCUUAGCCAGCCUGUGUGACUCCUUGACAGGAGAGUCUCCAGGGAGACCCAAGGCAUCCUUGGUCCCCAGGCCGGGGCAGGUGGGUCUGUGGUCCUGGGGAGGAGAGGUUGGCCGGACAGCCUUCAGCCUGGGGGAAUCCUGACAUCCCAAAAGCACAGCAGGGUCUUUGGACCUGGCCAUGCCAGUGCGCACUCUGCCCUGUCCCUGAGGGUCCUGGGCAGCCGUCUGGGGUGGGGAGGUUUCCACGCUGACCCUUUGUUGGGGGUCAGGGACCUCUCUCGCUGCUUCUUGGCCAGCUGCAAACUUAGAAGGACUUGAGUCCAACCGGGCCGUGCCAUGUCGAGGGGCUGCCCUCCCGCACUGUUUCUCCUUCGAGGACAGGAGGCGCUUCUCCACUAGCUGCGGAAGGAAAGGGGGCACUUACUGGCGCUGCCCCAGGUGUGAGCAGGGCCCAGAAUGGUGGAGACCAGGGCACUUGGGUGGGAGGCAGGGAAGCCUGAGGCAGCUGGGCUUCGUGUCAAAGAGAGAGGGUGUGGCUCUGCCGGGCAUCCCGUUGGGCCUCACUGCAGCUUGCAUCCUGACUCCCCUCCCUGGCUCCUCUCCAUCCUACUCCCUCUGAACCUGCAUCUUCCCACCCCGGAGUGGCUCCCCAAGAAGCUGAGCAUCCCCAGCAGGGUGGGCUUAGACAAUCGGGUGGGCCUUGUGUGCCGGGUCCCUCCUGCCCCUGGAGUACCUGGGUUCCCCUCCCUCCGCUGCUCUACCUGGUCAAGGGUGAGUCCUUCCUCCUGCUCCAGCUCCUGGCUUAGGGCCAAGAAAUCCAUCUGUGGAUCUGGGGAAAGCAAUUCUUCCAGGAAUCGGGGGUGAAUGACGGCCUCCACCUGGAAACAGAAGGAAGAAGGUGUGAACUUCCUGGGGAGGGAGUAACCUGGAGCCAAGGACACCCGGAGGAGAUGCAGAAAGCGGGGAGGGCCCCAUUCCCACCCUCCUGGGGCUGUUUCAUAUCAUGGCGACCACCAGCUACACGCACAGACCACAGACCUCGUAGCAUACACACAUACAGACAGAGACACACAAACCACACACAGACACACAGACCCAUGUACAACACAGGAAAAGACAGACACAGGUAACAUACACACUCCACACUCACACCCACACAGACACACAAAGACACAGUAACAAAUCACAGACACAAACACACAGCAACACACAGACACACACAGUCACAUACACAGACACUCAAAUCCAUGGAAAUACACAUACUACUGAGUAGCUAAGGAACAGAGCUUAAUUCCAAGGACCUGGAAGUGCCACCCCCUGGAAUCCUAUAGACCACAGCACUCCAGGCAAGCCCACCUUGGUGACAAAGUCUUCCUGGGAACACAGCUUGUCAAUGUAGCUCAGGAGGCCCGGGUCUGAGGUCAUCCCGUCCUCUUCCUGCGGCUGCUCCACUUUGCCCUUUUCCCGUUGUCCCUCAGGCUCCCCUGUGUCCCCAGGGUGAGACCCCAGCAGCUCCUCCAUGAUGUCCACAUACUCCUGCACCACUUCAGGGGGGAUCUCCUCAGGGACCUUGGUCUCCGCUGGCCUCUGGGGCCUGGGUGGUGGCAGGUGGGCCUUGGUCUCUGCUGGCCUCUGGGGCCUGGGUGGUGGCAGGUGGGCCUUGGUCUCCGCUGGCCUCUGGGGCCUGGGUGGUGGCAGGUGGGCCUUGGUCUCCGCUGGCCUCUGGGGCCUGGGUGGUGGCAGGUGGGCCUUGGUCUCCGCUGGCCUCUGGGGCCUGGGUGGUGGCAGGCAGGCAGUUGGGGCCUUGGGGCCAUCCUUGCUGGGAAGGUACACUGAGGCAGAGAGGGAGGAGGAUGGGUGUGGUGAGGGCCGCUCCUCCUGCCUGCACCACACAGGGGAGGGCAGGGCUUGGGGAUGUGAAGUGGGUCCCAGCUGGGUCAGGACCACUUGAACCACAGCGCCCCGGAGGAGACGCCGCAGGAGGGGCACAUCUGAGACAGCAUCGCUUGGGAGGAAGUUUGGAGCCACCGAUAUGCCGUGUACUCUCCCCGCUCAUCCCUGCUUCCUGGGCAGAGCAUACGUGGAGUUUUGGACAGGCAAGGGGAGAGAGGGGGACUGACGGUGAAGAUGCAAAUACCUGCCCAGCAUCGACCCUAGUGCGGGUCCCAAGACCAUCCCCCUGUGCAGGCUCCACCACCGCUGUGCUAACUGGACCGCGGCAGAAGAGUGUGGGUGUGUGCCAGAAGUUUUCAUGGGCUGAGCUGCUGAGUUCAGCCUGGGAACUGAGGCCAACAUCGGAGUCUCCUCGGCACACAAGUUUGAAAGAAGUCCUAGUGACUUCAAGCUCAGAACCAUGGACGGCAGGGCUCCCUCUGGAUGUGGAAUUCUCUGUCCCUUUCUAGGGAGGGAACAAAGCCCACAAGCCCCGGAACUGGCCAGUCAUGGUGGCUUAUGCCUGUAAUCCCAGGACUUUGGGAGGCCGAGGCUGGAGGAUCACUUGAGCCAAGGAGUUUAAGACCAGCGUGGGCAACAUGGCAAAACCCCAUCUCUACAAAAAAUAGAAAAAUUAGCCCGGUGUGAUGGUGCAUGCUUGUAAUCGCAGCUACUUCGGAGCCUGAGGUGGGAGGAUCGCUGGAGCCCAGGAGGUGGAGGCUGCAGUGAGCUGUGAUCAUGCCAGUGUACUUCAGCCUGGGUGACAGUGAGACCCUGUUUCAAAAUAAUAAUAAUAAUAAUAAUGAUAAUAAUAAACUGAUAGAACUGUACACAAGAAAAGUCAAUUUUACUGUAGGCUAACUUAAAAAUAAAAUUAAAAUAUAUAAAAUAAUGUUUACAUGAAUACAAUAAAAAUUUAACAUAAAUAACAUAGUUAUGCAAAAAAUAACUUCACAAAAGAAUUUCCAAAAGAAAAAAGUUAUAGUGAGAAGAAUGACAUUGUUUUACAAUCUUGCAAAGAAUUUUUUCUGCCUUAACAGAAGACACUGGAUUCAAUUGUAUAUAUGUAAUUCUAUGUAUCUUACAGGCUCAGCAAAGCUCUACUGUACACUCAUGAGACAAUGAAAGUAAAUUAGACAAGUCAUUCCCAGUAUUUUUUUUUUUUUUUUUUUUUUUGAGAUGGAGAUUCACUCUUGCCCAGGCUGGAGCGCACUCAUGUGAUCUCAGCUCACUGCAACUUCCACCUCCCAGGUUCAAGCAAUUCUCCUGCCUCAGCCUCCCAAAUAGCUGGGAUUAUAGGUGUUUGCCACCACACCUGGCUAAUUUUUGUAUUUUUAGUAGAGACAGGGUUUCACCAAGUUGGUCAGGGAUCCUGACCUCCGGUGAUCCGCCUGCCUCGGCCUCCCAAAGUGCUGGGAUUACAGGUGUGAGCCACUGCGCUCGGCCCCAGUAUUGUUUUGAGAAUACUUUUGACCUCAUAGACCGUUCUCCUAAAAAAAGAUUUGGGGAUUCUCCAGGGUUCCCUAUGCCACACUUUGAGAACCACUGGCCUAUGUUAUAACUUUGCACUAAAGGAAGUACUUUUCUUCUUAUGAUUGGUUUUAGGGAAAAUAUUACUUUAUCCCUCAUAGAAAAAAAGCAUUUAACAUAUUUAUUGAUUGAAUUAUGAUAUAUAGGCAUAAUUUUAAAAGUCAAAUUCAGAUGUUUCUUUCUUUUUUUUUUUUUUUGAGACAGAGUUUGCCCAGGCUGGGGUGCAAUGGCGCGAUCUUGGUCACUGCAACCUCCACCUCCCGGGUUCAAGCCAUUCUCCUGCCUCAGCCUCCCAAGUAGCUGGGAUUACAGGUGUGUGCCACCAUGCCCCACGCCCGGCUAAUUUUUGUAUUUUUAGUAGAGACGAUGUUUCACCACGUUGGCUAGGCUAGAUAUACAGAUGAUUCUUAUACUUAAAUGGUCACUUUGUUUAUGAUUUCCAGCAAUAACCAGCCCUAGGAACCUUAAAAAACCUUCCUUAAAGUUUUUUUUUCAGGCUGGGCGCAGCGGCUCACGUCUGUAAUCCCAGCGCUUUGGGAGGCUGAGGUGGGAGGAUCUCCUUAGGUCAGGAGUUUGAGACCAGCCUGGCCAACAUAAUGAAACCUCGUCUCUACUAAAAAUACAAAAAUUAGCCAGGCGUGGUGGUGCACAUCUGUAGUCCCAGUUACUCGGGAGGCUGAGGCAGGAGAAUUGCUUGAAUCUGGGAGGCAGAGGCUGUAGUGAGCCAAGAUUGCACCACUGCACUCCAGCUUGGGCAACAGAGAGAGUCUCUGUCUCAAAAAAAAAAAAAAAAAAAAGUUUUUUUUCAAUUAUAGGAGAGUAGAUGUUUUCACCAUAUGAGAGUAAUGACUUACAAAUUAUUUACUGUCAAAACUUUAACAUAGCCAUUUCUUUUUUUUUUCCACCCCGAGACGGAAUCUUGCUCUGUUGCCCAGGCUGGAGGGCUGUGGCCUGAUCUUGGCUCACUGCAACCUCUGCCUCCCUGGUUCAAGCAGUUCUCCUGCCUCAGCCUCCUGAGUAGCUGGGAUUACAGGCACACACCACCAUGCCCAGCUAAUUUUUGUAUUUUUAGUAAAGACGGGGUUUCACCAGGUUGGCCAGGCUGGUCUUGAACUCCUGAUCUCAUGACCCCUGACCUCAUGAUCUGCCUGCCUCAGCCUCCCAAAGUGCUGGGAUUACAGGCAUGAGCCACCACACCUGGCUGCCAUUUCUUUUUUAAAGUGAAUAAUGGGAUUUCUUGUAAGGAGUGGCCUAUCAUGGGUGAAAAGAUGCUUGUAUACCCCAUUUCAGGUUAUACUGCAGUGUUUGUUUUGUUUUGUUUUGUUUUGUUUGAGACAGAGUUUUGCUCUUGUUGCCCAGACUGGAGUGCAAUGGUGCGAUCUCAGCUCACUGCAAUCUCUGCCUCCCAGGUUCAAGUGAUUCUCCUGUCUCAGCCUCCCGAGUAGCUGAGAUGACAGGCAUGCAUCACCAUGCCUGGCUAAUUUUUUGUAUUUUUAGUAGAGAUGGGGUUUCUCCAUGUUGAUCAGGCUGGUCUCGAACUCCUGACCUCGGGUGAUCCCCCCGCCUCGGCCUUCCAAGGUGCUGGGAUUACAGGCGUGAGCCAUUGCACCCGGCUCAUACUGCACUAUUACGUGAGCAGUACUAUUCUUCUUGGAAGCCAUUUGCUGUCUAUAAGUCAGAAAGUUUUACUUCCUAAGAAACUUCAUGAAAUCUAUAAGCAGCUUCUUUGAAGAUGGCCUUUUGUAAUCUGCGUAUGACCCCUGAUUCUGAAACUGACUAGGACUGAUUGCAGCAUCAGGAAGGAGGAAUUUCCUGCCUCUGUGAGGGUUGGGCAAUGCAGAGGUUGGGGCAGGUGCCACCACCCUGGGGCUUAGACUCAGUUAGUUUGCCUGGGACCCAGCUCUGUGAGCUUAACCAAUAUCUCAGAGUAAAGGCUAUUAAAUAGGACAAUCUGAUCUGGUCUAAACUAAUUUUGGCCUGGUACAAUGGCUCACGCCUGUAAUCCCAGCACUUUGGGAGGUCAAGGUCAGAGGAUUGCUUAAGCCCAGGAGUUUGAGACCAGCCUGGGCAACGUGGCAAAACCUCAUCUCUACUAAAAAUAAAAAAUUAGCGGGAUGUGGUGGCACACACCUAUAGUCCCAGCUAUUCAGGAGGCUAAGGUAGGAGGAUCACGUCAGCCCGGGAAGUUGAGGCUACAGUGAACCAAGAUGGUGCCACUGCACCCCAGCCUGGGAGACAGAGGAAGACCCUGUCUCAAACAAACAACACAAGAAAAUCCCAUUAUAUUUGGAGUUGGCUGUGUUUCCCUCAGUAGGCAGGUUCAUUAUUGAGAGUUGGAGGCUUACCAUCUAGCUAACAUUUGUGGAUGGUUAGACUGCUUUUCCCUGCCAGUCUCUUGGAAGCAGUCAAGGCAACCAGGCCUUUAGUGGAAAAAAGGAGAAGAGACAGGAAUACCAGAGGCAGUCCCUUAACCUUGGAUUUCUCAGCCUCCAUAACUGGAAGAAAUACAUUCAUUUUAUUUAUAAAUUACCUGGUUUCAGGUAUUCUGAUAUAAGUAACAGAAAAUGAACCAAUAUAGUACCUAUGGUCCAAGAUCUUUAAAGGGAGCUCCUAGGUCCAAUAUCUGGAAGAAGUGUUACAACUAAACAACAAAAAGAUUAAAAUAUGGGUAAAGGACUUAGACAUUUCUCUAAAGAUAUACAAAUAGUCAACAAGCACAUGAAAAGAUAUUUAGCAUCCUUACUUAUUAGGGAAAUGCAAAUCAAGACCACAGUGAGGUACCACAUCAUACCUACAAGGAUAACUAUAAUUUUUUUUUUGAGAUGGAGUCUCACUCUGUCGCCUAGGCUUGAGUGCAGUGGCGUGAUCGCAGCUCACUUUAAAAAGAAGGAAAUUUUGGCACAUGGAUGAACCUUGAAAACAUUAUAAGACUCCUUCAGGGUGAGCAAAGGCCUGGAAACCUGUAUGCAGUUAAAGAAAAGGAAAGAAAGAUAAUCAGUGCAUGCAGUUGUCAGCUGGCUGGGACCUGAGGAGAGUCACUUGUGGAGGCAACUGGUCUUUAUCCCUAUUGUCCGGUACAAGGCAGGCAUUAAUCCUGUGAUCCUUAUCUGAAGCUCAGGUUUGAUUUUAUUCUUUUCUUAAGUACCUAGUGUUAUCCCCAAGCUUGUAAUAAUAGUUUAAUUGUUACAGCCAAUAUCUCACCUUCAGAAGUAAGAUGCUUAGGAAACCAAGACAAGGAACUGUGUGUUGCAAACAGCAUCACCCUGGAGAAGAGGUGGCAGGAGGUGACCUACAGAAAAUGGAGCAAUAGCCUAGAGCAAGAAACACAGAAUAAAAGAGAAAUGAGGGGUUAGGCAACCUCCUGGAGCACCAACGGGACAAGCACAUAUUCAGGGGCCUCCUAACAGACUCGACUUCCAGCAUCCUCAGAUGGGGCUAGACACGUUACAUAGACAUUCAAGUGUAGAGAACUCAGGGACUUCUGAUUUAUAUCAAGAAAUGCAUACACAGCAGACGUGUGCCUGUGGAGUGGAAUUCUGGAAAAGCUCACAGCCCAGAACAUAAUGCAGACUCCCCCAGCCACAGCACCUUCCAAUCCUGAGAAGAGUGCUGAUUCUCCAUCUGAGCACCCAUUCUCCUGCAACAUCAGGGGAGAGGAUUUCACCUAAGGGUCAGACCAGCAUCUCCAAACCCAGCUCCCCACCUUUGCCUGUUGGUGGCACUUGUGGGAGAAGGGGAGAUGAUAUGAAAAGAGCCACAACAGGAGUCACCUGGAUAGGGUGGAGCUUGAUGGAAACUGACAUUUGUGCCCAUUGGAGGCAAAUGUAGAAUUUGGUAUCUUCCGUAGCGUCAGGCACAUGAAACUCUCCAGUGCCCAUGACUUUUGACAGUGACUUCAGAGCACAUCUGGGAGACCCAUGUGGCCCAGGCUCCACACAGAGGAUACAGAGGACCAACUGUAUACCACUUCAUGUGAUGUUGGAGUGCUGUUCUGCACGCCUAACUUUAUGGCUUGGUGGAUCAGACAAUGCCCAAUGUAUGAUGGAAAGCUCAGGUUGCAGGGCAGCUAGGUGGCCCAUGCUUGAGCAGUCUCCACUAAGUCCCAGGAGCAAGCCAAAACUGCUUCUCAAAAGGAGAGUAGUUAUCAGCGGAAGAUGGCAUGCUCCACAGUUCUAGGGUCCACACUGAUUUGCCUGUAGAGGCCUGCCAGUGGCUUCAGAUAGUAUCCCUAUCUGCCACUGACACUUCAAGCACCAUUGGAUCUCCUGAAACAUAAAGCCCAAGUGGGAGAGCAGCUUGCACAGCAGCCUGGACCUGUUGCAGAGCCUGCUUUUAUCCUGGGCUUAAAACUAGCAGCUUUUUGGGUCACUUGGCAAAUAGGUCAGAGAGUAACACACUCAAUUGAGGAAUAUGUUGCCUCUAAAAUCCAAAGAGGGCCUAAUGGUGUUAUGCCUCUUUUUUUGGUUGUACAAGGGGCUAGAUGCAACAACUUAUUCUUCACUUUAGAAGGGAUAUCUCGACCACUAGACUCCUAGAAAUUUUGCUGAAGUGAAAGGCCCUUGAAUUUUUAUAGGAUUUAUUUUCCACCCUCUGACAUGCAAAUGUCUUAGUAAUAAGUCUAGAAUAGUUGCUACUUCUUACUGCUUCCAGUCAGCAUUAUGUCAUCAAUGUAAUGGACCAGUGCGAUUGAUAUAGAAGGGAAAGGCAACUAAGAUCCCUUCAGAUUAAAUUAUGACAUAGGGCUGGAGAGUUGGCAUACACCUGAGGUAGGACAACGAAGGUGUAUUGCGAGCUUGCCACCUGAAACCAAACUGUUUCUGGUGGUCUCUACUAACAGACAUCAGGAAAAAAAGUAUCUGCCAGAUCAAUAAGUGCAUACCAGGUACCAGGGGAUGUAUUAAUUUACUCAAGCUAUGAAACCACAUUUGGAACAGCAGCUGAAAUUGAUGUCCCCACCUGAUUAAGUUUCCAGUAAUUUACUCUCAUUCUCCAAGAUCUAUCUGUUUUCUUCACAGGCUAAAUAGGGAAGUAGAAUGGGAAUGUGAUAAAAAGUACCACCUCUGCAUCCUUCAAGUCCUUGAUGGUGGUACUAAUCUCUGCAAGCUCUACAAGAAUGCAGUAUUGUUUUUGGUUUGCUGUUUUUCUAGAUAGAGGCAGGUAAGUGGCUUCCACUUUAUAGCGUAAUUGCCCUCACUCUUCAGGUCAGGAAACCAGUGUAGGGAUUCUGCUAAUUGUUGAGUAUGUCUAUUCCAAUUAUUCUGCAGCUACAGAGAUAACGAGACUGGACCCACUGCAAGACAGACCUAAACUAAAACUCCAUUGAUCACCUAACCUCCCUAAGCCCCUACUCUCACUUGUGAACCAGAGUGAUGCAUUGGUUUUCCUGGGGUACCCUGAGUCUGAGUUCAGAACCAAUGUCCAGUAAUUCCCCCAAAGUCUGAUUAUUCCCUUUUCCCCAAUGCACAGUCAGUCAACUUGGUAAAGUGCUAUAGGUCCCUUUGGGGAAGGCUGAGAGAAAAAUGAACAGUAUACAAUUUUGGUAAUGCAGUGGGGACACAGCCUCCUCAUUAUUUAAGGAGAUAUGGGUCUGCAAACUGGCCCAAGUCUUGGAAUUGAUUCAGGAGCUGUGACUCCAUUUUUUUGAUUCGAGUUAGACUUUUAUUCACUUGAUUCUUCUUUUUAUACAGAACAGAUAAGAAUUUAGUAGGCUUUCCAUCUCUUUUAUUUCUAUGGAUACUAUGACCAGCUAGCUAAUGCCAUAAGUCUCUGUAAAUCAGACUUUCUAACUACAGUUUUGACUUUACUGUCCAUUACAGUAACCAUGUUCACCUUGUCUUUGGUGAUUAAAUGCUGCCACUUGGCCCCUGCCAUCCUGGGAUCCAGUUACUCUCCUUAUACUUAAGAAUCCCAUUCAGUGGCAGCAGUUCCCACUGUAAUUUCUGACCUAUACAGAAGAGCAACCACAGAGCUCUUUAAAAAUAUUGGAACUCCCUCACAAAUUUAUUUCUCGUGGUCAUAACAGAAAGUGUGUCCUGAGCUAGAUGUGGUAGCUCACACCUAUAAUCCCAGCACCUUGGGUGGCCAAGGUAGGAGAAUCGCUUGAGCUCAGGAGUUUGAGGCCUGCUUGGGCAACGUAGCAAGACCUUGCCUCUAUAAAAAUUUUUAAAAUUAGCCAGGUAUGAUGGUGCAUAUAGUCCCAGCUACUCAGGAGGCUGAGGCAGGAGGGUCCCUUGAGCCCAGGAGUUUGAGGGUACAGUGUGCUAUGGUCACACCACUGCACUCCAGCCUGGGCAAUAGAGUGAGCCCUGACUCUAAAAAAUAAUAAUAAAUAGAAAAAGAAAGCAUGUCCUCUUGUUAAAGAUUUUUCAAUGACACUUGUUCAAGGAUGGUAAGGCUGACUUUUUCAAGAUCAUCAGAAUAGAUACAGGGACCAAUGCAAUAGCAUUUUACAGCGAGGGAGAGAGAUUGGGCUCAACUCUGAAUACAGUUUGGGUAAGUGAGAAUUUAUUGCCAAGGAGUAGGGUGGGGGUCAGUGGAUUGAAAAUUACUAAGAGGAAACUUCAAGAGUAAGGAAAGAUUCUGGCUUAACUGACCUAACAGGAUUCUUGCUGAAAACAGGCUGGGGUGUUGAGACACUACCUGGGAGAUGGUGGAGGAUGAAGCCCUGAUCAGAUAUGGAGGAUGAUCAGAUAUUGAGCAUGGAGGUUCUUUUUUUUUUAUGCUUUAAGUUCUAGGGUACAUGUGCACAACGUGCAGGUUUGUUACAUACGUAUACAUGUGCCAUGUUGGUGUGCUGCACCCAUCAACUCGUCAUUUACAUUAGGUAUUUCUCCUAAUGCUAUCCUUCCCCCCUCUUCCCAUCCCACAACAGGCCCCAGUGUGUGAUGUUCCCCGCCCUGUGUCCAUGUGUUCUCAUUGUUCAAUUCCCACCUAUGAGUGAGAACAUGCGGUGUUUGGUUUUCUGUCCUUGUGAUAGUUUGCUCAGAAUGAUGGUUUCCAGCUUCAUCCAUGUCCCUACAGAGGACAUGAACUCAUCAUUUUUUAUGGCUGCAUAGUAUUCCAUGGUGUAUAUGUGCCACAUUUUCUUAAUCCAGUCUAUCAUUGAUGGACAUUUGGGUUGGUUCCAAGUCUUUGCUAUUGUGAAUAGUGCUGCAAUAAACGUACAUGUACAUUUGUCUUUAUAGCAGCAUAAUUUAUAAUCCUUUGGGUAUAUACCCAGUAAUGGGAUGGCUGAGUCAAAAUGGUAUUUCUAGUUCUAGAUCCCUGAGGAAUUGCCACACUGUUUUCUACAAUGGUUGAACUAGUUUAUAGUCCCACCAACAGUGUGAAAGUGUUCCUGUUUCUCUACAUCCUCUCCAGCACCUGUUGUUUCCUGACUUUUUAAUGAUCAGAUAGCCUCCUAUUUUUUAACUAUGAGUUGGAAUUUGCUGCUUUUGAUAUGAUAAGAAAGUUCAAAAUUUCUCUUCCUUGCUUUGUUGUGUGUUCUAAUUCUUUUCUGCCCAUCCCCCAGUAAAGAAAAGGCUCAGUAUGAUUUCUUGAAUAGAUUGUUUAAGCUAUUUUCAAAACAGGACUUGGUCAGGGGCAGGUAGUCUUAAGUGUUCAGAAGCCACUGGAUGGAAAAUUGUGAGCACAUAAGUGUUUUUCUUGGUCAACCAUGUCAUUUUAUAACCAAAGUUUGACUUGACAUACUGGAAUUAAUCCACACGACUUUGAAAAGAAUAAACUCUUUAAAAAGAGAGCGAGAGCUCCGAGGGUGUUAUGAGAGUCACUGUCUGAAACCCUAUUGAUCAUAUUGUGGCAGAAGAAAUAGAGUCCUGCCAUGAAUUAUAAUUUUCAGGUUAAAAAAUAAAAGCAAUUUGUAGGACAGUUUGAAUAAUUUAGUACAAUUGUUAAAAAUACAGACAUGCACAUUCCUGUAUGUGCAUUUUUAAAUGUUCACGAAUGAUAUAAGCCAGAUAUAUUUCUUAGAGGUGCUUGAAAAAAGUUAUUUCUUCUUGGGCUUUAUUAUCUCAAUUUUAAAAAAUUAAGAUGCAUAAUUCUCAUAACAGAUUCAGAAGAAUAUAGUUCAAGAAAAAAAAUUUAAGAACUCAUAAAGGAGAAGGAGGAGGAGGAAGAGAGUGUGAAACAGGAGCCUCAGAUAACUUGGUAAAGGCAUGUCUCCCAUUUGGGAACUGAUGUUCCUAAGAUCCGCACUGACGCUGCUCAGCCGGUCCAUCACACAGCAAAGGCGUGAGGAAGGGUCACUGCCCAGCUGGACUCCAGGGUGGUCCACGCAUGACAGUCACACCGAACCUUCAUGAGGAUGUGAACUGUUGGCUCCAAUUUACCAUUCCCAGCAAUUCCACUCAGAUAUUUGUAUACUAAUGUUCACAGCAGCGUGAACUCCACAGCAGGUGGAGUAAUGUUCCAUUGUGUGCAUAUGCCACAUUUUGUUUAUCCAUUCAUCUGUUGAUGCACAUUUCGGUUGUUCCCACCUUUGGGCUAUUAUUAAUAAUGCUGCCGUGAACAUUCCCAAGAGAAAUAGGAAGACGGCUUUGCUAAGAACUAAAAAAGGGAUGGACAACAAGGGCAUAUACCCAGGGGCAGUGUUCUACCAUGACAGCUUUACUGAGAGCAGAGUAGUUCUGCUCAGAAUCAGAACACUUGUUCCCUAUAGCCCCCCUGAUUGCCCCACAACCACCACCGCAUACUCCCCUUAUCCCAACCAUGGGCAGCAGAUUGAGCUAUUAACAGAAGUGUCCUUUCACUGGAUUUCUCAACCCUUUCCUCAUCGUCCACAUAGAGAAACAGUAACAGAUUGCUACUCACCCAACACCCAGGGCAAGUCCAAUGCAGGUAGGAGUAACAGCAAAUCCUUCAACUUCUUGAUUCUGCUCUUAAAAAUCUUAACAGAGGCCGGGCACGGUGGCUCACACCUGUAAUGCCAGCAUUUUGGGAGGCUGAGGCGGGUGGAUCACCAAGACCAGCCUGGCCAAGAUGGUGAAACCCCGUCUCCACUAAAAAUACAAAAAUUAGCCAGGCGUGGUGGUGGGCACCUGUAAUCCCAGGUACUCGGGAGGCUGAGGCAGAGAAUUGCUUGAACGCGGGAGGCAGAGACUGCAGUGAGCUGAGAUCGCACCACUGCACUCCAGCCCAGGUGACAGAGCAAGACUCCAUCUCAAAAAAAAAAAAAAGACUUAACAGAGCAUUUCACGGUGAAGGGCCAUGAGGGAACAUCACCUGGGUGAUGGUAACAUUCUGUAUCUUGAUAAGGAUUUGAGUUAUACAAGUAUAUACAUCUGUCAAAAUUCAAAGAAUGUACACUCAAGAUCUGUGCAUUUCAUUAUAUGUAAAUGUUACAUAAAAUGUUGUAAACAAAUAUUGAACAAAUAUACGCAUGCUAAAGUAUUUAAGAGGAAGUACUGGUGUCUGCAAAACAAAAAUUUUUUUUCCAUUUUCUGUGGUAAAAUAUACAUAAUAUAAAUGUAUUAUUUUAAGUGUACAAUUCAGUGGCAUUAAAUACACUCAGAAAGUUGUGCAAACAUCCCAUUUAUUCAUUUCCACAGAUUUUUAAAUUCUCAUUCCAAACAGAAGCCCUGUACCCAAAGAGCAAUAACUCCGCAUCCUCCAAUCCCCACUCUCUGGUAACCUCUAUUCUACUUUCUGCCUGUAUGAAUUUGCCAAUUCUAGGUACCUCAUAUAAGUGGAAUACAGUAUUUAUCCUUUUGUGUCUGGCUUCUUUCACUUAGCAUAAUAUUUUCAAGGUUCAUUCAUGUUUUACAUGUAUCAGAAUCUUGUUUUUUCAGGUGGAGUAAUGUUCUAUUGUGUGCAUAUGCCACAUUUGGUUUAUCCAUUCAUCAGUUGAUGCACAUUUCGGUUGUUCCCACCUUUGGGCUAUUAUGAAUAACGUUGCUGUGAACACUGGUAUACAAAUAUCUGAGUGGAAUUGCUGGAUCAUAUGGUAAUUCUGCAUUUAACUUUUUAAGGAACUGCCAAACUGUUUUCCACAGAGCUGUAACAUUUUACAUCCAAACCAGCAAUAGGACCUGGAUAAAAGGUGGCUAAGGCACAGUUAAAUAAAGUACUGUUAGUUGCUGCCCAUUUGCAUCAGGUUUCUAGUGGCAAAUAAUCUAGCCGUGUCCUUGACUGGAUCUCCCAAUGAUUCUUUUCAGUCAUUUGAAUGAGUAUGGUGGUGGUGACACUGGCAGGAGGCUGGAGGGUACUUUAAUUAACACGCGAACACACACAAAUCCAUUGCACCCCACUAAGCCGCCCAAACACACACGAAACACAAAAACUAUCCUUGCUAGGGAAACACAGCCCUGGAACAAACCCCCUGGACCCCUUGUCACCACCAGCCCAUCCUGUAAGAAAAUGAUGGUUGAAGCUGCAGUGACAGAAUUGGAGAGAUGCUCUGUUAGACAAGUCUGUCAGCUGAAAGGGGCAGAAACCAUUGUUGAACCGCUUAUAUGAGAGGAAGACCUGGGUGGCACAGGCCUGGCUGGACGCAGGGCUCACAGAGCGUCAUCAGCACUUCAUCUCUUCCCCCUGCGAGACCUGCUGUCCUCUGCGUUGCACACCCCCCCCCCGCCAGGCUCAUCCCUGUAUCCUCCUUGGAGGAAAGUGCCAGGCUGGUGCUACUUGGCCCUGCCUGGGUCACACGCCUGCCUCGGGAUGUGGAGGAUGGUCAGCCCAGCCACAGCACAUGGAUUGCUAUGUGAAGGAUGAUGUUCCACAAGAAAACCAGGACGGCUUCACCAGGGAGGCAAGAGCAGCAGAUGCCCAUGACAGAGGGUGUAUACUCUGAAUAAAAGAAUUUGGAUUUUUAAAAAGAGACAGGAAGAAAAGGACUUCCAAACUCUAGAAAGUUUAAAACUAAUAGAAUGAAACAUAUUGUGUAUAAAUGUAAAGCUCUUUGUUGAGAUUAAAUAUAUGUAUCAGUUAAAUUUUAUUUAAACAUAUAUAUACACAUAUACACACACACACAUACAUAUAUAUGACCCAAGUACAGGAUAAAGAUGAAAUUUAUAAGUACUCUUUAAAAAUCUUAGUUUUGGGGCUGGGCGCGGUGGCUCACGCCUGUAAUCCCAGCACUUUGGGAGGCCAAGGCGGGUGGAUCACCUGAGAUCGGUAGUUCGAGACCAGCCUGACCAACGUGGAGAAACCCUGUCUCUACUAAAAAUACAAAGAAUUAGCCGGACGUGGUGGCGCAUGCCUGUAAUCCCAGCUACUCGGGAGGCUGAGGCAGGAGAAUCGCUUGAACCCGGGAGGCAGAGAUCGCAGUGAGCCAAGAUGGUGCCAUGUCACUCCAGCCUAGGCAACAAGAGCAAAACUCCAUCUCAAAAAAAAAAAAAAUUAGUUUUGGGAUACCAGUAAUUUCAGUAUUAUUAACAACCUGACUUGGGCACCCCAAAAGUUUGCAAUAAUGGCAUUAAAUGGCUGGAUAGAGAAAGAGAUGGUGGCGUGAAUGCCUGCUUCCUGGUGUCAUGUCUGGAAUUUCAUGUCCAGUCCUGAAAGCUGCAUUUUAGGAAGGGUGCUACUGAGCGUCCAGAGAAGACAGCAUUUCGCUUGGUGAAGGGAGUGGGCUUAUGAUGCAUGGCAGGAGGAGUAAUGUAGAAAGAAAUAAGCUUUGCGGUGCAUAGUGUAGAGAAAUUCCUGCUUUGCGUCAAACAGACUGACCAGGCAGGCCUCACAGUUUUGCAAAGCCCUGGAAGCACAGGCUUGGCUGCAGAUGUUGGAUGACUUUCCAGACCAGUUUUGGAAAAAGCUCUUGAGGAUCAGAAGCUCCUGGGAUUUCUGUUAUCACCUGAUUUCAUGGAGAGAGACAGUCCAGGGCCGGGAAUUAUGUGGCAUCUAUGUGUUCCCCAGUUGUGGGAUCCAUCUGGCCGAUGGUUAUGGUGGUCAGUGACUUUCAGAGGCCUGGAAUUCAUGACAGAUGCUUUUGCUAAUGUGCUUGGUGCCCCACUGAGGCUGCUGAGCAGUGCUUACCAUGCGCCCGAUGUCUCUUCUGUGUGCCUCUGAGAGCAAAAGUGGCCUCAGAGUCUGAAGGAGGGCAAAGUGGCCACAGCUGCAGACACAAAGUCCAGACUAGCUCUUGACCACAUCCAAGUGCAUCCUGCAUUAAGCUCAGGCACAUCAAACCUGCCCAAUCAAGGUCUGCCAAAGGAAGGAGUCUGCAAAUGACAUUUCUCAUAAUCAAACACACUCUUAAUUUGUUUUUAUAUUAUUCACUCAAUUUUUUGAUAAAUUAUUAUAAUUUUUAAAAUUAUGUCUAGUAGUUUUAUCAAUUGCUGAGAAGAGUGUUGAAGUCCAACUUAUAAUUGUGGAUUUGUUGAUUUCUUCUUUCAGCUUUAUUGGUUUUGGUUUAUGCAUUUUAAGGCUCUGCUCUUGGUGUGUACACAUGUAAGACCAUUUUGUCUUCAUGGUAAAUUAAUUUUUAAAAAUCAUUAUGUAAUGUCCCUCUUUGCUCCAGUAAUUCUUUGCUCUGAGGUCUACUGUAUUAGUAUUAAUAUAGCAACUUCUACUUUUAAGUUAAUAUUUGCAUGGUACACUUAUUUUAAUGCUUUUCAUUUUCUUUCUUUUUUCUUUUUUUAUUAUACUGUAAGUUUUAGGGUACAUGUGCACAACAUGCAUGUUAGUUACAUACAUAUACAUGUGCCAUGUUGGUGUGCUGCACCCAGUAACUCGUCAUUUAACAUUAGGUAUAUCUCCAAAUGCUAUCCCUCCCCCCUCCCCCCACCCCACAACAGGCCCUGGUGUGUGAUGUUCCCCUUCCUGUGUCCAUGUGUUCUCAUUGUUCAAUUCCCGCCUAUGAGUGAGAACAUGUGGUGUUUGGUUUUUUGUCCUUGCAAUAGUUUGCUGAGAAUGAUGGUUUCCAGCUUCAUCCAUGUCCCUGCAAAGGACAUGAACUCGUCAUAUUUUAUGGCUGCAUAGUAUUCCAUGGUGCAUAUGUGCCACAUUUUCUUAAUCCAGUCUAUCAUUGUUGGACAUUUGGGUUGGUUCCAAGUCUUUGCUAUUGUGAAUAGCGCUGCAAUAAACAUACGUGUGCAAGUGUCUUUAUAGUAGCAUGAUUUAUAAUCCUUUGGGUAUAUACCCAUUAAUGGGAUGGCUGGGUCAAAUGGUGUUUCUAGUUCUAGAUCCCUGAGGAAUCGCCACACUGACUUCCACAAUGGUUGAACUAGUUUACUUUUCAUUUUCAGUCUACCUAUGUCAUUGUAUUUCAAGUGAGUUUUUGUAGAUCCAGCAUAAUGUUGUAUCAUGCUUGGUUUUUUGUUUUUUAGUCCACUCUGCCAAUCUCUGUCUUUUAAUUACUGUACGUAGACCACUUGAAGAAUUGCCUUGUAGCAAUUCUGAUAUAUGAGGGCUGAAGUCUGCCAUUUUGUUAUUUGCUUUCUGUUGGUUUCGUAUCUUUCUUUCUUUCUUCCUUCCUUCCUUCCUUCCUUUCUUUCUUCCUUCCUUCCUUCCUUUCUUUCUUUUUUGCAAUGGAGUCUUGCUCUUGUUGCCCAGGCUGGAGCACCUGGGUUCAAGCAAUUCUCCUGCCUCAGCCUCCUGAGUAGCUGGGAUUACAGGCGUGUGCCACCACACCUGGCUAAUUUUUGUAUUUUUAGGAAAGACAGGGUUUCACCAUGUUGGCCAGGCUGAUCUCAAACUCCUGGCCUCAGGUAAUCUGCCCAUCUCAGCCUCCCAAAAUGCUGGGAUUACAGGUGUGAGCCACCGCAUCCGGCCAGUUUCCUAUGUUUCUUGUUCAUAUGUCUCAUUUCUUCCCUCUCUGUGGGUUAUUUGCAUAUUUAUUAGGAUUCUAUUUUGAUUUAUUUAUAGUUUUUUUUUUUUUUUUUUUUUUUUUUUCGAGAGGGAGUUUUGCUCUUGUUGCCCAGGCUGGAGUGCAGUGACGCAUCCUGGCUCACUGCAACCUCCACCUCCCAGGUUCAAGCGAUUCUCCUGCCUCAGCCUCCUGAGUAGCUGGGAUUACAGGGACAUGUCACUACGCCCAGCUAAUUUUUGUAUUUUUAGUAGAGAUGAGGUUUCUCCAUGUUGGCCAAGCUUGUCUCCAACUCCUGACCUCAGGCGAUCCACCUGCCUCGGCCUCCCAAAGUCCUGGGAUUACAGGCAUGAGCCACCAUGCCCAGGCUUAUAGUGUUUUUGAUCAUACAGCUUUGGAUAGUUUUCUGAGUGGUUGCUCUAGAUAUAACAAUAUACAUAUGUAACUCAUCACAGUCUACUAAUACUGAUGUUUAACCAAUUCUAGUGUGGUUUAACAACCUUUUCUACAUUUACACCCCUUUACUCUCUCCACUUUUAAAAUAAAAUUUCUGUGGCAUUUCCUCCAUAUACAUUGAACACCACAUUAGGUGUAGAGUUUUUGCUUUAACACUCAAUUAUCAUUUAAGAAACUCAUGAGAGGUUGGAUAGUCUGUCAUAUUUGCCCUUAUUUUUACUCAUUUUUGAUGCUCUUUCCUGUCUUAAGUUUCAACUUGUGAGCUAUUGUGUCUGGCCUCAUUCUUAAAGGAUAUUUUCACUGGAUGUAGAAUUCUGGGUUGACAGUUCUUUUUUUUUUUUUUUUUCUGUACUUAAAAAUUGCUUUCUACUUUCUUCCAGCUCCAGGGUUUCAGAUUGAAAAUGUUGGGCCAGGUGUGAUAGCUGAUGCCUAUAAUCCCAGCACUUUGGGAGGCUGAAGCAAGAGGAUCACUUGAGCCCAGGAGUUCAAGACCAGCCUGGGCAACAUAGGGAGACCCUGUCCCUACAAAAAAUACAAAACUUAGUUGGGCAUGGUGGCAUGUGCCUGUGGUCCCAGCUGCUUGGGAGGCUGAGGCUAGAGGAUCACUUGAGCCUGGGAGGUUGAGGCUGAAGUAAGCCAUGAUUGCACCAGUGCCCUCCAGACUAGGCCACAGAGUGAGACUCUGUCUCUGUCUAAGAAAAGAAAGGAAGAAAGAAAGAAAGAAGAAAGAGGAAGGAAGGAAGGGGAAGGAAGGAAGGAAGGAAGGAAAAAUAAGUAAUUUAAAUUGAGGCUCUGCAAGUAAUGUGUUGUUUCUCUCUGAUGCUUUCAAGACUUUUUUCUUUGUUUUUUUUUUUUUUGUUUCCAGAAACUUAAUUAUUAUGUGUCUUGGCAUCAAUGUCUUUGGGCUUACCAUGUUUGGGAAUCACUCAGAUUCUUCAAUCUGUAGAUUUAUGUCUUUUCCCAAAUUUGAGACAUUUCAGCCUUUAUUUUUUCAGACACUUUUUCAGUGCCUCUCUCUCCUACUGGAUCUCUGUUAACACAAAUGUUAACCCUUUAGUUAUUGUCUUAUAGAUCCCUGACAUGCUGUAAUUGUUCUCUUUUCUUACCUUUUUUUCUGCUGCUCACAUUGGGUAAAUUUUAUUGAUCUGUCUUCAGGUUCAUUGAUUUUAUCCUCUUUUAUGUCCACUAUACUAUUGAGCAUAUCCAGCAGGCUUUUUAUUGUGGUUAUCAUAUUUUUCAGUUCUCUAACUUGCAUUUGGUUUCUUUUUGUAAUUUUUGUUUCUUUGGUGAAAUUUUCUAUUUUUUUACUCCAAAAAAAUUGCAAUUGCUUGUUGAAGCAUUUGAUAGCUGCCCGAAAACCCUUGUUAGAUAAUACUCUAUCUGAUUUCUCUUGGUGUUAGUAUCUGUUAUUUUUUUCUUGUUUCUGUAGGAUUUUUCUGAUUCUUGGCAUUUUUUUAAUUGUAUCCCAGAUAUUUUCUAUAUUAUGAGACUGUGAAUUCUAUUUAAUCUUUUUUAAAUUUAAUCCAUUUAAUCUUUUUUAAAAUUGCAAUUGCUUGUUGAGGCAUUUGAUAGUUGCCUGAAAACACUUGUUAGAUAAUACCCUAUCUGAUUUAUCUUGGUGUUAGUGUCUGUUAUUUUUUUUCUCAUUUCUGUGGGAUUUUUCUGAUUCUUGGCAUGUCAAGCAUUUUUUAAAUUGUAUCCCAGAUAUUUUCUAUAUUAUGAGACCAUGAAUCCUAGUUAACCUUUUUUAAGUGGGUAUAGUGCCAGGGUCAGGUGGGUGUGUUUGUUCAGCUUCCUAAUAGACUCCUCCAAACCAUCCUGGUAAAAAUGGGGCACUGACUCACACUGCAUUGUUGCAGAUGGGUGGGGUGAAAGUUCAAGUCCUUCUUCAUCCCACAGUCAUCUUCCUGGUCAAAGUGGGACGCUGACUCACACCACCUUGUUGCCUCUGAGUGUGACUAUGUGACCAGCUCCCUGACUGGCUCCACUGCCUUCGAGGUUGUGGGGUGGGAGGGAAGGUAGGAAAGGUGGAAGGCUGACUCACACCACCUUGUUGCUGUGAGUAGGAGUGGAGGGUCAGCUUGGCUCUGCAUAUUGUUGAUAUCAGGAAAGGGGAGAAGCAAAACAUCAGCUACCCUUCCUUAUGGCACUCUAUUCUGCCUUGUUGUUGCCAAGUGGAGGUGAAGGGUCAGCACCCAAUGGACCUUCAUGACAGGGCCUGGAGGGGUGAAGCCUCAUUGUAACCAGCUCUGCCUUUUACUGCAUUGUCAAAUUUCAUUGCUGCUGGGUGGGGGUGAAGGCUCAGCUCACUGUUUGACCCCACUGACACUACCCCUGUGGGGGAAUCAGAGCACUGUCUGCUUCCAGGCAAGGCAUGGAAUCUCGGCUCCUCCUGCCACCCACUUCUGCCAGGCAGAGGAUGCAAGAUUAGCUCUGUGCUCGGCCCUGCCAAUACCACCAGAUUGGGAAAUCAGAGUUCCCUUGCUUGCUUCCACAGGGUAGAGGGUAGUACAGCUUUUCUGUUGGUGUUUGGCUGGUGUAGGGCUGAUAUUGCUAAAAGCUUUUCUAUUCAUAGCCCAUCCAUUCCAAGACCUUUGGCUAAAGAGAACACACUUUUCUUAAGGCUUUUGUUUCAUUGUCUGUGCCUGUUGGUAGUUCUGGGUUGGAGGUUUCUGUAGUGCCCUGUCCAUGGCAUAUGAGAAGCAGAAGGAAACAGAGAACUCAUCACCCUGCAGUUCAUCAACUCUUGAUGUCUCUGGACAGCCCAUCUUCUUCCAUGUAUCUUUUCAGAGUUUUGCUAUGCUUGUUUAUUGUUUUGUUUCCAAAGAUUUCUAUGUGUAGUAGGAAGGACUUUUAUUUUUUAUGUCGUUAGUUUUUCUGAACUUUCAGAAAGAGAUGUGAAGGUUUCUGAAUUUUCUGAAAGAGGUGUGAAAAGCCUUUCAAACUUCACAGAGCUCCCUUCUAUUGGUUGUGUCUAGGGCUCAAAAAUAUGGCAACUUGGCUUUCUGAGAUGUUCUGCCUUUAUUCUCCUCCGUCCCUUUAGUCUAAACCUUCUCUCUCUGUCAUCUUUGUUGUCCCUAUCCUGCUUGAUUUUCAUUACACUAGAAGCAGUCUCUCUUCAGUGUAGGGCCCUGCCCUAAAAGGGAUCCCUGGCAGGUGAUUUCAGAGGAGCUACACUGCUCCAUCCCCUUCAGCUUAUCUUACACAAGCCCCUUGAGCCCUACUGGUAUUGGAGAAAACAAACCCCUCCUUUUAGAGUUGCUGUUCUGGAAUCAUCCCACCAAUGCUUUCCUUGCUUCCUCCUACACAAGAUGUCACUUGUAGUCAGGUGGCUUGUCUCCACACCCCAUAUUUUGGGAUUCAUGAAAACAUCCUGUCACCAUGUUUUUAAAAAAUAUAUUGUCCUUGGUGUUUCGUGUUUAGUUUUGUUUCGAUGUCUAGCUGCUUUGUCUUUCCUUUUUUUAAUGUGGCAAUGCAAAGAAACUAAACAACUUUACUGCAACUGUUGUCUUGCAGAAUUCUGUCUUCUCAUUCUUCAUCUCCUAUUGUCCAUUCUUCUCAUGACAGCCAGUGUGGUGUCUUCUCUGCAUUGUUCCUUCAUGGACAAGGUAACAUCACUAGUUUUCAUGGAUUAUGCAAAUCAAAGAGAGAAUUCUCGUUUUAAGUCACUGACACAUUUAAACCACCCCUCCUACAAGUUCAGCAAUGAUAAUUAAGGUGAAGAAAAACUUCAGCUAGUCUUUUGAGGCCACAGUGUCCAAGGACAAGAUGUACUUUUUAAAUUUGAAAUUUCUAUAAUGGCAUUGACAUUUUACAAUAAGACGUAACUAAAAUAUGUAAGCAUGCAGUUAAAACAAUCAUGGAAUGCUCUUGCUACAUGACUGAGACCAAGAGAUUGAUUCUUUCCUACUGAUGCUUUCAGGAAUAUUUUCAAUUAGAGGCUUGAUAUUUCCAUAGUUUACAGUGAUUAGAGAUUAAAAUGUAUAAUACUAUCACCUUUUUAAAUAAAAUGGGAGUACAUUUAUAAUAAAUUAAUAUAAUCUCCGUAAUUUGCUAAUUUACAAUGGAAAAGAGAAUCAAAAGAUAAUUCAAAAUACCUGAUUAAAGGAAGCCUACUAUUUUAAAAAAGAAAUGCCUAAUUUUUUAUUGGUGCUCAAACUUAAAAGGAAUUUAUCAUAUGAAAUAUGCAAAAGGAAAUAAUGCGAAAUGUACUGGCCAAUGGCUGCUAAUAUGGCUUUAUGGUGAAUCAUAGUAGACAUGUACGCUCGACCUCCAAAUAACUAAAGCUGCUUCUGUCCAAUAUCUCAGAAAGUCAUUUUUAUUUUAAAAAUGCAGAUCUAGUAACUUUUCUCAUAACCUUUAACAUCCCUUUUUCACAGAGACUGUCUUAAUGAAUUUAGGCCUUUUUUGGUGAACACAUUCUUUAGUCACCUCAAUCUAUAUAAAUAUUAAAUAGUUAACUAUUGAAAGCCUGAACACUUGUAUUAAAAAUAUUAUUUCCUAAUAUUAUUUUUUAGAUUUCUGAUUAUAUGUUAUUACAAUGAGUAUACACACACACACACACACACACACUCCCAAAAUAGUUCAUUUUAUACAGUCCAAGCUCUUGUGUAAAUUAACAAGGAAGGCUUAACAUUUAUGUGGAAAUGCAGAAGACGUAAAUAACCAAAACAACUUUAUUAAAUAAAACAAAGCUAGAGGAUUUACAUUUUAUUUAAAUAAUUAAUAUAAAACUACAGUAUUUACGAUAGUGUGAUAUUGGCAUAAGAAUGGACAUAUAAAUAAAUGGAGGAGAAUAUGAAGUCCAGAAACAGAAAAUGAACAUUUAUGAUCUGAACAACUGAUUUUCUACAGAGGUGCCAAGAUACCUCAGCAAGGGAAGGAUAGUCUUUUCCAUAAAUAAUGAUGGAACAAUUAGAUAUUUGUAGAGGAAAAAAAGUUGAAGCCUUACUACAUGUUCCAUAUCAUACACAAAAAUUAACACAAAAUGGAUUAUAGUCUUUUUCUAUUGGUUUAUACAACUUUAUUGAAGAAAAGUAAAUCAAUUACCAGCAGAGCUAUUGGUUGAUCACUCAUCCAUUCACAAUUUGUAUCAUUUACAACAUAAUAUCUAUUGGAUGCACCUAAAGCUGUGCUUAAAAGAAAUUUAGAACAUUAAAUGUUUAUAUUAGAAAAGGAAAAGUCUCAAAUUAACAAUGUAAGUUUCUACCACAAGACAGAAAAAGGGAAGCAAAAUAAACUAAAAGCUAGAAGAAGAAAGGAAAUGAUAAAGAUAAGAGGAAUCAAGAAAAUUGAAAACAUAAAAACAAAAGAGGAAAUCAACCCAAAAGUUGUGGGGGGUUUUGGAAGAGAUAAAUAAAAUUGAUAAACAUCUAGCAAGAUUGACAAAGAUGAAGAGAGAUGUAAAUUACCAACGUUAGGCAGAAAACAGGGGUUCUAACUAUAGAACCUACAGACAUUAAAAGCUUAAUAAGUGAAUAAUAUGAACAAGUCUAUCCAAAAUUCAAUAACUUAAAUGUUCUAAUUGCUUGAAAAACACGAAGAAGACUCACCAACUAUAAAAUAGAUAAUUUAAAUAGUUUUAUAUUAAAGAAAUGGAACUCAUAGUUUAAAACAUGCUGAAAAGGAAAUCUCCAGGCAUAGAUGUUUUCCUUGGGUAAUUAUACCAAACUUUUAAAGAUGAAAUGACAUCAGUUUUACAUAAAUUAUUCCAGAAAACAAAAGUGGAGAGAACACUUCCCAGCUUAUUUUACAAAGCCAACAUUAUGCUGAUAUCAAAGCCAAAGACAGUACAAAGAAGGAAAACUAUAGACCAAUUCUUCUUCUGAACAUGGACACAAAGUUUACAACAAAUAUCAGUAAAUCAUAGCUAUUAAUACAUAAAAAGAAAGAUACACUACAACUAGGUGUGGUUUAUUCAGCAAAUGCAAGGCUGGUUCAAUAUUUGAAAAUCAACCAAUGUUAUCUGCAAUUUUGACAGACUAAAGAAAAAAUAAAACACCACAGGAUCAUAUCAGUUGAUGCGGCAAAAGCAUUUGACCAGAUCAAACAUCCAUUUAUAAUAAUAACUCUCAGAAAACUAGAGCUAGAAGAAAACUUUCUCAACCUAAAAAACGAGGAACCACAAAUUAACUAAAGCUAGCAUCACACUUGAUGGCUAAAGUCUCAAUGCUUUUCCCCUAAAAUCAGGACCAAGGCAAGUGUGUCUGAUCUCCCCACUGCUAUUCAACAUAGUACUGGGAAUCCUGGCCAUUACAAUAAUGGCCAGGUAAGAAAAGAAAAGCUAUACAAAUUGGAAAGAAAAAAUAAAUCUAUCCUUAUUUGCAGAUUGCAUGGUUGUCUAGAUAGAAAAUCCCAAGGAAUCGAAAAAAAAAAUCUUAAAACUAAUAAGUGGGUUUAGCAGGAUCACAAAAUGCAAAGCCAACACAUAAAUAUCAACCAUAUUACGUAUUAGCCAAAAACAAUUGGAAACUGAAAUAAAAAACAUAAUGUUAUUUACAGUUGCUCCAAAAAAGCUCCCCACUACUAUUCAACAUAGUACUGGGAAUCCUGGCCAUUACAGUAAUGUAAGAAAAGAAAAGGCAUACAAAUUGGAAAGGAAAAAAUAAGUCUAUCCUUAUUUACAGAUUGCAUGUUUGUCUACACAGAAAAUCCCAAGGAAUCUACAAAAAACAAAAAAAAAUCCUAAAACGAAUAAGUGAGUUAAGCAAGAUCACAGAAUGCAAACUCAACACAUAAAUAUCAACCAUACUACAUAUUAGCUAAAAACAGUUGGAAACUGAAAUUAAAAAAACAUAAGCUUAUUACAAUUGCUCCAAAAAAGCGAAACAAAUCUAACAAUGUUCCUCUUUUUAAGGCCAUAGCUCUUGUUGGGAUGGUCUUUUUUGCCAGGCUCUGGUAACAUUUCCUUCCCCUCACAUCAACCCUGGCGGUGAUAAUGACUUCACUGUCACUAGUCACAGGGCGCCUCACCAACUCUGCCCAGGCUUUGUAAAAGUCCCUUUUAUUAGAUGUCUUUAAGUGUCCCAUUGUUUCUUUUUUUGUUUGUUUUUGAGACGGAGUCUUGCUCUGUCGCCCAGGCUGGAGUGCAGUGGCGCGAUCUGGGCUCACCGCAAGCUCCGCCUUCUGGGUUCACGCCAUUCCCCUGCCUCAGCCUCCCGAGUAGCUGGGACUACAGGCGCCCGCCACCAGGCACGGCUAAUUUUUUGUUGUUGUUGUUGUUGUUGUUGUUUUAGUGGAGACAGGGUUUCACCGUGUUAGCCAGGAUGGUCUCGAUCUCUUGACCUCGUGAUCCGCCCGCCUAAGCCUCCCAAAGUGCUGGGAUUAUAGGCGUGAGCCACUGCGCCCGGCGUAAGUAUCCCAUUGUUUCUUAACAAUUGACUAUGCCAACGUGAGGAUUUUUAUCUCUUUUAUUCCUUGUUAUUAUGCCAGCAUCUACAAUGAUGCCUGUCACACAGCAGGUUUUCAAUAAGUGUCUGUUGAAUGAAUAUAUGUUUGGACCACUUUCUUUCCAUUAAAACAUGAAUAGUAAUUCUUUAAGCAUUGUGUUUUUCUUUUUUUAAAAGAAAUUUAUGGUGCACCGUUUGAUGUUUAACCUUAAGCAUUUCUAUAAAUCGGUUACCAAAAAUGCUUGCUAUCUGGUGUUGGAGUGGAUGUGAGGAAACAGCAUAAACUGAUACAAGCCUCUUUGAGGACUCCCUGUUAGCAUCUGUUACAUGUUCAUUUGUACACAUUUUAACUGCACAAUUCUAUCAUUUUGGCGCUUGUGCAAAGAAAUAAUCUCACAAAUAUCAAAAGAUGCAUGAACAAUGCUAUUUGCCACAUAUUAUUUAUAAUAGUAAAAACUGGAAACAAACAUCCAUCACAAAGAAUUGAUUAAAUAAACAUGAUAUUCCCUACAAUGUAGUUAAGGAACAGAAAGAUUUCCUUCUCUAUAGCCUGACCAGAUAACUCGAUUAGGAGACAAUUUUACAUGUUAAAAGAAAAUUGUAAAGAAGUUGUAACCAUGUUUUUAAAAACGCAUUGUUUGCUGUAGCCUAAAGUGCAGAGUUAGGCAUCAGUGGACAAUUGGUCGUACUUGGGAGGUGGGCUGGAUAUUAGGAGGGGGAGCUACAUUAUACCUUUAUGCACUGCUAUAAUCAAAUUUACAGUGUCUAAAUUUUUUAAAGAAACGUUUAAAUGUAUUUACUUUAAAUAAUAAGCAAGGGAGUCCGGACGCGGUGGCUCACGCCUCUAAUCCCAGCAGUUUGGGAGGCCAAGACAGGCGGAUCACCUGAGGUCAGGAGUUGGAGACCAGACUGGCCAACAUGGUGAAACCCUGUUUCUACUAAAAAUACAAACAAUUAGCCGGGCGUGGUGGCGCGCGCCUGUAAUCCUAGCCACUGGGGAGGCUAAGGCAGGAGAAUCUCUUGAACCCGGGAGGCAGAGGUUGCAGUGAGCUGAGAUCGCGGCAUUGCACUCCAGCUUGGGCAACAAGAGCGAAACUAGGCUUAAGAGCCUUUUUCAGUACGGAACUUAAGGAGAAUAAAAUAACAAGUUAACAAGUUGCCAAGUUGCCAAGCUUACUACAAAGCGAACAAAUAUGGUUGGGUUGACUGUUUAUUAUACUGUUACCUUUAGUCUUUACGAGUUCAAGGAUUUUUAUAUGGAAGACUGUAUUUAAUAAAACAGAAGCAGGGUAUUUGAGUAUUAAUAAGCCAAUUAAGUUGUUUAUAGAAAAUAUAUUUUUUUGUCCUUCCCCCCAAAAAGCACACAUUGUACCGAGUAAGCUUCAUUUUUGCACAGACGGAAAAUUCCGUCUGAUGAAGAGGCACAUCCACCGGGAACGACCCCAGGCAGGGAGACCAGUUUCUUUCCCGCUGUCCCGGGACUUUGCCGGGAAAUUGCUUCAAGACCGCGGACCGCAAGGAACGGACCCCGCCCGAACCCCAGCCCACAGGGCCCCCAGAUCUCGCGGAGCGAAGCCUGAGGACGCGCUCGGACGCGGGCCUAUGGGGACGUCCCCAGUCUUGGCGGAGCCAGGCGGGAGACGCGCGGAGGAAGCGGCGCGGCAGGGCGCUCGCUGCAGCCCCCUCUGCCAGGUACCCCCAGGAGACUGGAGCCACGCGGGUCCGGGGGCGGCUUCGCCCCGCUAAGCACCCCGAAGCCGGGCUCCUGGGUGCCCCGCCAAGAUUCAGAGGUCAGGGCCUCUAUGUCUGGGCGCGUCCCCUGUCCCUGCGCAGCGGCAUCUGGGGGUGUCCCUUCGCCCGCGGCCCCCAGGAAAGUUGCUGGGAAGCAAAGCUUCACGCGUGUGUUCACGGGGAUCGCACUGACUUCGUGACCAACCCUUGGGUGAAUAGGUGCCACUAUUUAAAUUUAUCUCACGGAAGAAAUUAUUGAUGUUACGGAAUAAUGUUGAGCAGAUACAUGCUCAAUAUGUAUAAUUUAGUAAAAAGAUGUUCCUAUGAUAUUAUGACCGUAUUUCCCUGGUUUGGUUAAAAAAAUCAACAGGUGCUCAUGUAAAGUUUAAGUAGGGACAUCUCUGGGAGAUCCAUGAUUUGCCUGAUAGCCAUUUUUUUUUCUUUUUUCUUUUCUUCUUCUUUUUUUUUUUUUUUUUUUUUUUUUUUGAGUCGGAGUUCCGGGUUCAAGCAAUUCUCCUGCCUCAGCCUCCGGAGUAGCUGGGACUGCAGGCGCCCGCCACCACACCCCGCUAAUUUUUUGUAUUUUAGUAGAGACGUGGUUUCACCGUGUUGCACAGGCUGGUCGCGAACUUCUGAACUCAGGCAAUCCGCCCGCCUCGGCCUCCCAAAGUGUUGGGAUUACAGGCGUGAGCCACAGCGCCCGGCCAUAGCCAUUUUUUUCUUAUUUUGCGUUGUGCGUAUUUUUUGGUUUUUGUUUCUUUUGUUCCCCUUUCCUGAAACCCUGUUGGUCAGGGUCACAGGUACUAUUCUUUUAUAGUAAUGCUGUGCUCCGUGUGCAAGUAUUUCAUUCACAUUUCACAGCCUUAUUCCCAAGACAUAUUUGUAUGUACCUUAACGUCUAGGGGCUGCUUUGAGUUGAAAAGGCAAACUGAUGGAGGGAGGAUCCUUGUUUUUCUUUCUUUCUUCCUUUGUAUUGAAAAAUGUUUAAGCACACAGAAACGUAGGAAACGGUAAAAUGAGCAUCUAUCUAUAGCCAUGCAUGUCCUUGAUUUAAGAAAAGUUAACCUUUUGCCAUAUUCGCUUUGUUAGUUUUUGCUGAAAAAUUGUAAAGUGAAUUAACUAUCCUUUCAAUGUUAAAUGCUUCCCUGUGCAUGUCUUUAUAAAAACGAGUAUUUUCCAAUAUAACUCCACUUAACAGUUAAGAAUAACGGCAAUGUUCUUUAAUAUUUAUAAUUGCCAGUACACAUUCACAUUUCCCAAAUUGUUUCCAACGUGUUUGGCAGCUGUUUUUUCCAAUCGGGAUUUGAUGGAGGACCACGCACCGUAUUCGACAGCAAAGUUCAAACUUAACCCAUAACCUCUAGGGGCUCUGGCAGAACCUGGCCAGGCGAGGCAGUCAGGGACAUCUUCCAAUCAUCCAAUAGAGAAAACGCUGCGAAGUAAGUCGUGGCGUGGAGGUUUCUGGGAAACGUAGUCUUAAAUCCGAAUGGCUCGCGCGCCACACUCUAGGAAAGGGUCUUCUGGAUGACGUCUGCGCAUGUGCAAGCUUAGCUCGCUGCUUCACGCCUAGCUAAGGCUGAGAGGUGGUCCCGGGGCCCUUGGGUGUCGCGGGCGGGGAAGGUGCUCACCUGAAGUGGGACGCGGGGAAACCGGGUCUCCCCACAGCCUGUCAACUUCUAGUGAGAAUGGGGCUUGUGAUUCAGAGGGUGAGAACGGGAAGCCCGGGGGGACCCCAGGAUCGACCCCCUCACGCUAGAGGUCCCGGGGACGCAGGUGGAGCUGCGCCCCCUUUAGGAACAGGUGUUCAGUGCGAACCUUGGGGAAAGCCCAUGCCCGCGGCGGCAGAGGAGAGCCCGUUUAUAAACGUUGACCAAAGUGCCAGAACUCGUGGGCGCUGUGUCUGUGGCAAGACCCCGAGCUGUGGAGACCGAAAGAGCUGCGUAAAUUCCAGCUUUGUCACCUGUAAGCGGGGGGCGAGGGCGGGAACCGGGUAAGAGGUUUCUCGCCUGAAAAUGAGGGUGUUAAUGCCUGCUUCAUGGCGUUGUUUUGAAACUUAGGUAAGUCAUACACUUGGCUGUAAAGCAAACAGCCAAGUGCAGUUACUAAACCCUGAGUAAGUGACAGCUGCUAUUGUAUUUAGAAGACACUUUGUUCUUUUCAUUGGAUGACUCACCUAAACCUCACAAGUACUCUAUGAGGCCGGCAUAACCGUCUGCAUUAAAAAUAACAACCGAGGUUCAGGUUGGAGGAACAGUGCGCCCACGUCACAAGCUAGCAGUGAGGAAAUUUAGGUUCAAGGGCAGGUGUGAUUUAUUUCCGGUCUCAGGUGCUGUCGAAUAUCACACCUGCCUAAAACCAGCCCUGCAGUCUUUACAGCACUGAGCAAAGUGACAUGACCCAAAAUACACAGGGAAAUAAUGGGAAGUGAAUGUGGGUAGAACCUUACCUUGUGUCAGAUAUAUUUUAGGCUUUCUGGUAGUGUCUGGUCAGAUCCGUUGGGUCACACGAAGGCUCCUAGCCACUCUGGCACUACCAAGCUGUCUAUGUUUUCAGUCCAAUGUAUUGAAUUCCAGAGGGCCAGGUUUGUGUCCCUAAAAUUUGUGUCCCAGGCCCUGGUCCCAGCUCCCAAGAAAUAAUUUCACUGUAGAGCAAAGCAGCUCUUGUGAAUUAGGAAGCAGGGGGCCACUGGGAACAGGAAUCUUUCCUAGAAAGAGAACACCCCUCUGACCUUACCACUCUCCAGCGCUUCCGAGCAGAGGCAGAAAAGCCCAGACAGGACGGAGCAUAGCCAGAAACAGUGCUUGAUCCACCCGCCAGAAUGAGCUGGAUCUGGUGAUGUCAUUAUCUCCAGAAACCACUAGAGUCUGUGACAGUGGAAUGCCUGGACCAGCUUUGAGAAGACCAAGGGGAGACAGGAGGCCACUUCAAAGGAGAGCUUGUGGGGAGGUCUAGGGGUAAGAGGUAAGCAGGCAGAGGGUGGAAAUCCUGUUUCCUCCAUCUCUAAACAACUCCCACUCUUGAAAGACACUGCACUGCUCUCACACCUGUCCAUAACCACAUGUGACACUAGUCACGCUAGUCUUGAUAUCUUAACCUCACAGAAUUCCACCGUGAUGGUUCACGAAAGGUGUUUAUGGUCAUCUACUUGUGACUCAUUUGAAACCAUUAAGAGAUUGGACCUCAGAGUGUCCAUGAAUUAUCCAGACCCACUUAGUUUGUGUCAGAUCCACGAGUCAAACACAGUGCCAUUUAGUCCGUCACAGGUCCAGGUCAUCCAUGUUUUAGUAGCUUGUUCUUUUGUAUUGAUGGGUAGUGAUCUAUUGUCUUUUCCUUGUAAUGAAGAGGUAAAAGUUUUAGUUCACACAAUACCAGAGUUAAAAAUUUCACUGGUGUCUGUAUUACAAAAGUGGAAAUAACCCUAAAAAUGAAAGUAAAUUUGAGCUUUGGUAGUCAGAUAAUCUUUUUCAUAGUCUUGUGUUAGACAACAAAUCUUUCCCAGAUAGCAAACUCUAAGAAAACUGCCAUAGUUACCACCCUACUAGAAACUUAGUUUCCAUACCCCAAACAUUUGUCAGAGAACCUGCCCACUUUCAGUCACGUUUAUAUUCUUAUUCUAAAUUGACCCAAUUUUCCAUGUAUCAAAAUGACUGUAUUGCCUUCUAGAAUUCAAGCCAAAGGGGAGAGCAAUGUUAGUGGUCCUUAUUCUACUGACUUACUCUUUUGUGUGUGUGUGUGAGACAAGGUCUCGCUCUGUCACCCAGGGUGGAGCGCAGGCAUGCUCACUGCUCACUGCAACGUCUGCCUCCCAGGCUCAAGCGACUUUCAUGAAUCAGCCUCCCAAGGAGCUAGGACCAUCGGCAGAUGCCACCAAGCUUGGCUAAUUUUUGUAUUUUUAGUAGAGAUGGGGUUUUGCUACCUUGGCCAGGCUGGUGUUGAACUGCUGGACUCAAGUAAUCUGCCCACCUCACCCUCCCAAAGUGCUGGCAUUACAGGCAUGAGCCACCACACCUGGCCCUGACUUACUCUUGAAGUCAUGGAUUUAUGUCCAGUGCCCCUCUCCCAAACUAGUUUUUUAAACCUUUGACCACUCAUGUAUGUCAGGAUCUCUACUUAGUUAUUGCAUAUUACAUGGUGCAAAGCAUCUUAUAAACAGGGAUUCAUGAUAGACUUUUUCUUCUAAAUCAGAUCACUGAUUCUAGUCUGCAGUUUAUCAAGAUAAGGUGAUGAGUUAUUUAAAGAUUUUACCUUAGGUACUAAAGAAUUAAAGUAGAUGAAAAUAUACCAAUAUUAUUAGGAUUUAGUGAGAAUCACUGAAGCUAAGUGGCUAGACUGUUAGUUCUAAAAAAAAAAAACUAACAGUGAUUUGAUAUAUUUUUAACUAAAAUGUAAGCUGGAAAGCAGUGUGCUAAAGUCAAAUUAUGUGGUCUAAGCCACCCUCUGUACAACAACUUUAAUUCUACUUUCUGUACUUCCACUUUUUUUCUGUGUAACUGUUUGAAAACCUCAAACACCCUUGUUCUAAUUCUACACUAUUCCUGGGAAUCCUUUCUCUUUGGUGUAUUGACCUAAUUUUAUAUUCUAACAUGCUUUUUCCUCUCAGACACAAUAACCAACUAUUCAAAGAUGCCAUCUAAUACGCUAUGCCACUAAGUAUUGUGGCCAGAGAGUGAUUUUAAGUGUAAUAAAUUAUCUUAAAAUUGAAAAGAGCUUAAGCCAGAAAAAACAAAUAUUAUGUCUUACAUAGAGGCAUGGAUUAAACCAAUUUGUGAAUAGUCCAGGCAACUUAUAAAAAUGCUUUAAGACAUAUCAA